GCUCUCGGGGCCGGAGGUGCUUCAGGCAGUGAGAGACGCGUUGACUCCUUUUUCAUCCAGCCUCGGAGGAGAAGUCCUCGUUUCCUUCCCCGCGGGGUGAAGCUUACCUUUCUCACUGAAAAUAACUUGUGAAAAAAUGUUCAAGACAAUAAAAGAUCUGACUCUUC